CCCAUCUCAGGAUAGCAUCUGGAGAGUUUCCAGUACUCUACCAGUCUCAGCUAUGGGAGGGAAAGUCAAGCAGAGGCCUACUCAUUCCAUUCCUAGCUUGGGCAAUGAUUAACAAGUGGAAGACAAUCUGCUACAAGU